CUCUUUUCUAGCCUUUUGGUGAGUCUCCCCAUUCUGUUCUUUGGAAACUUCUUCAAGCCAAAUUUUUAGAAAUUUGAAGUAGAAGAGACAGAAAGAGAGCUAAAGCCAAGUAUUGCAGCAGUCUACUACAGAGUUAGUCCUGGUUUCUGCAGCAUCUUGGAAAUUGAAAGUAUUUGGCACAGCUACCAGAUCAUGGCAUCUGGACCUGGCCAAGGCAUAGACUGGCCCUAACAUGAAAAGUAUCUGCCAGACCUGAGGAAAUCGUUUUGGAUAAAACCAGACCUGACCUGACUCAUCUGCUGAGCUGUUACUCAUCUGACUCCAGUGACAAUGCUCAUCACCGCACCUGUGAAACAUAAUCCUUGAGGAUUAUGUGCAGAAAUCAGAAAAAACAAGAGCAUCCCAAGAGGAAGAAGGUCCCACAUUGAAAUUAUGCUGGCAUAAAAAAUGUUAAGGAGAGAAAUCAGGUUUGCUUGGAGGUUGAAUGGAACCCCAGAGACACAGGCCAGAUGCAAAUGGCACAAUGGGUCAAAAGAGGUUGCAGUUAAAAUAGCCGAAUGUUGAUGAAGAGACUUGCCAAAAGCUGGAUUCUCAGAGGAAAAUGGAUGACACUGACUCAAAUCAAGAACAGAGUAAGACUUGUGAUCUAAAGGACACCAGUAUCCUAAAAAAAGGAGUUGUAGAGGCAUUAGAUGACUCUGUGUGUGAAUAUGCUGGUUGACUAUUAUGGCCAAGGCUGGCAUGUUCAUGUAGAAAGAUGAGGAUAGAACCAUUACAAAACACACCAUAUGCAUUAUU